AUACCAGCUCUCCGAGUGGUGUGGAUGUUUAUUGGGCCUAAAGCAUCCGUAGCUGGCUGGGCAAGUCCCCUGUUAAAUCCACUGAUUUAAUCAUUGGUGUGCGGGGGAUACUGCUCGGCUAGGGGACGGGAGAGGCAGACGGUAUUUCCGGGGUAGGGGUGAAAUCCUAUAAUCCCGGGAAGACCACCAGUGGCGAAGGCUGUCUGCUAGAACGCGCCCGACGGUGAGGGAUGAAAGCUGGGGGAGCGAACCGGAUUAGAUACCCGGGUAGUCCCAGCUGUAAACGAUGCAGGCUAGGUGUUUGGACGGCCACGUGCCGUUCUAGUGCCGCAGGGAAGCCGUUAAGCCUGCCGCCUGGGGAGUACGGCCGCAAGGCUGAA
rnacentral:rRNA from 1 species